rnacentral:tRNA from 1 species
GGGGAUUUAGCUCAGCGGCAUAAGCACCUGCCUUGCAAGCAGGCAGUAGAGACUUUAAUUCCUG